GCCUCGAGGGAGUGCUGCACACGAGCGUGAAACUGCGAGUCCCUCAUAAAAACAGUUAUUAUUGAUUUGAAAAAUACCUUCCCGCUGGAUAGCCGUGGGGUGGAGAGCUGGGCUGCUUGCAGCCUAGAUACACACCAGUUCGCUGGCUAUUCUCCUCAUUAAUUCGCCGGCCUUUGCGCCUGCGAUGGUUUUAUCAAGUUUCUGCCCUAUCAAGGCGUGAAUAGUAGGGUAAUAGCCUACUAUUGCGUUGACGGGUAUAGGGAGCAAGGGUUCAGUUCCGAGCAAGUAGCCUGAAAUGGCUUGCGUGUUCAAGGAAGG
rnacentral:ncRNA from 1 species